rnacentral:rRNA from 1 species
CCUACGGGAGGCAGCAGUGAGGAAUAUUGGUCAAUGGGCGCGAGCCUGAACCAGCCAAGUAGCGUGAAGGAUGACUGCCCUACGGGUUGUAAACUUCUUUUAUAAAGGAAUAAAGUGAGGCACGUGUGCCUUUUUGUAUGUACUUUAUGAAUAAGGAUCGGUUAACUCCGUGCCAGCAGCCGCGUUAAUACGGAGGAUCCGAGCGUUAUCCGGUUUUAUUGGGUUUAAAGGGAGCGUAGAUGGGUUGUUAAGUCAGUUUUGAAAGUUUGCGGCUCAACCAUAAAAUUGCAAUUGAUAAUUGCAGCCUUGAGUACAGUUGAGGUAGGCGGAAUUCGUGGUGUAGCGGUGAAAUGCUUAGAUAUCACGAAGAACUCUGAUUGCGAAGGCAGCUUACUAAGCUGCCACUGACAUUGAUGCUCGAAAGUGUGGGUAUCAAACAGGAUUAGAUACCCCAGUAGUC